UCGUGAAGAAAUUCCAUCUUAUAGGUGGUUGAUGCAAUUGUCAUAGAUUAAAAACUGCAGACAAUUGUUCUAACUAUUCAAGUUUUUUGUCUAUGUACAAUGGGAUUUUGUGGUUGGUGAAGCGGAUGACGACGAAUUUGAUGAGAUGUCCGAUGUGUAUUGGGGGGAUGAUCAAGUUAUGGAGGAUGUAAAAAUGUGGUGUAAUGAUGACUUAAAUGAUGUGGACUUUGGAUAUGAUUGGCUGCCAUCUCCUUGAGAGUCUUUUAAUCAAAUCUGAUGGAAAUUUGCAUGAGCUUGCUGAAGUAUUAAGUUUAUGAAUGAAUUGUUUUGACAUACUGAAAGUUUCUCAACACCUGAUUGUUCAAAAGAUCCUACAAGAACCUGUCAUUGAAGAGUAUAUAGAGCUGAUAUUAGCGACUAAAUGUUUAUGAACAAGAGAGAUACAUUCAUAUUUUUUCAGUUAUUUAAAGAUGUCCUCUUCUGUACAUGUCAUGGUUCCUUCUUUUUUCUACAAUUGUAAUGUUGUAGAAGUGAGAUUGAUAUAUCUUUGAUAAUAAUGCUUAGUUCUUCUUAAUAAA